rnacentral:rRNA from 1 species
GGUUAAGCGACUAAGCGUACACGGUGGAUGCCCUGGCAGUCAGAGGCGAUGAAGGACGUGCUAAUCUGCGAUAAGCGUCGGUAAGGUGAUAUGAACCGUUAUAACCGGCGAUUUCCGAAUGGGGAAACCCAGUGUGAUUCGUCACACUAUCAUUAACUGAAUCCAUAGGUUAAUGAGGCGAACCGGGGGAACUGAAACAUCUAAGUACCCCGAGGAAAAGAAAUCAACCGAGAUUCCCCCAGUAGCGGCGAGCGAACGGGGAGCAGCCCAGAGCCUGAAUCAGUGUGUGUGUUAGUGGAAGCGUCUGGAAAGGCGCGCGAUACAGGGUGACAGCCCCGUACACAAAAAUGCACAUGCUGUGAGCUCGAUGAGUAGGGCGGGACACGUGGUAUCCUGUCUGAAUAUGGGGGGACCAUCCUCCAAGGCUAAAUACUCCUGACUGACCGAUAGUGAACCAGUACCGUGAGGGAAAGGCGAAAAGAACCCCGGCGAGGGGAGUGAAAAAGAACCUGAAACCGUGUACGUACAAGCAGUGGGAGCACGCUUCGGCGUGUGACUGCGUACCUUUUGUAUAAUGGGUCAGCGACUUAUAUUCUGUAGCAAGGUUAACCGAAUAGGGGAGCCGAAGGGAAACCGAGUCUUAACUGGGCGUUAAGUUGCAGGGUAUAGACCCGAAACCCGGUGAUCUAGCCAUGGGCAGGUUGAAGGUUGGGUAACACUAACUGGAGGACCGAACCGACUAAUGUUGAAAAAUUAGCGGAUGACUUGUGGCUGGGGGUGAAAGGCCAAUCAAACCGGGAGAUAGCUGGUUCUCCCCGAAAGCUAUUUAGGUAGCGCCUCGUGAAUUCAUCUCCGGGGGUAGAGCACUGUUUCGGCAAGGGGGUCAUCCCGACUUACCAACCCGAUGCAAACUGCGAAUACCGGAGAAUGUUAUCACGGGAGACACACGGCGGGUGCUAACGUCCGUCGUGAAGAGGGAAACAACCCAGACCGCCAGCUAAGGUCCCAAAGUCAUGGUUAAGUGGGAAACGAUGUGGGAAGGCCCAGACAGCCAGGAUGUUGGCUUAGAAGCAGCCAUCAUUUAAAGAAAGCGUAAUAGCUCACUGGUCGAGUCGGCCUGCGCGGAAGAUGUAACGGGGCUAAACCAUGCACCGAAGCUGCGGCAGCGACACUAUGUGUUGUUGGGUAGGGGAGCGUUCUGUAAGCCUGUGAAGGUGUACUGUGAGGUAUGCUGGAGGUAUCAGAAGUGCGAAUGCUGACAUAAGUAACGAUAAAGCGGGUGAAAAGCCCGCUCGCCGGAAGACCAAGGGUUCCUGUCCAACGUUAAUCGGGGCAGGGUGAGUCGACCCCUAAGGCGAGGCCGAAAGGCGUAGUCGAUGGGAAACAGGUUAAUAUUCCUGUACUUGGUGUUACUGCGAAGGGGGGACGGAGAAGGCUAUGUUGGCCGGGCGACGGUUGUCCCGGUUUAAGCGUGUAGGCUGGUUUUCCAGGCAAAUCCGGAAAAUCAAGGCUGAGGCGUGAUGACGAGGCACUACGGUGCUGAAGCAACAAAUGCCCUGCUUCCAGGAAAAGCCUCUAAGCAUCAGGUAACAUCAAAUCGUACCCCAAACCGACACAGGUGGUCAGGUAGAGAAUACCAAGGCGCUUGAGAGAACUCGGGUGAAGGAACUAGGCAAAAUGGUGCCGUAACUUCGGGAGAAGGCACGCUGAUAUGUAGGUGAAGCGACUUGCUCGUGGAGCUGAAAUCAGUCGAAGAUACCAGCUGGCUGCAACUGUUUAUUAAAAACACAGCACUGUGCAAACACGAAAGUGGACGUAUACGGUGUGACGCCUGCCCGGUGCCGGAAGGUUAAUUGAUGGGGUUAGCGCAAGCGAAGCUCUUGAUCGAAGCCCCGGUAAACGGCGGCCGUAACUAUAACGGUCCUAAGGUAGCGAAAUUCCUUGUCGGGUAAGUUCCGACCUGCACGAAUGGCGUAAUGAUGGCCAGGCUGUCUCCACCCGAGACUCAGUGAAAUUGAACUCGCUGUGAAGAUGCAGUGUACCCGCGGCAAGACGGAAAGACCCCGUGAACCUUUACUAUAGCUUGACACUGAACAUUGAGCCUUGAUGUGUAGGAUAGGUGGGAGGCUUUGAAGUGUGGACGCCAGUCUGCAUGGAGCCGACCUUGAAAUACCACCCUUUAAUGUUUGAUGUUCUAACGUUGACCCGUGAUCCGGGUUGCGGACAGUGUCUGGUGGGUAGUUUGACUGGGGCGGUCUCCUCCUAAAGAGUAACGGAGGAGCACGAAGGUUGGCUAAUCCUGGUCGGACAUCAGGAGGUUAGUGCAAUGGCAUAAGCCAGCUUGACUGCGAGCGUGACGGCGCGAGCAGGUGCGAAAGCAGGUCAUAGUGAUCCGGUGGUUCUGAAUGGAAGGGCCAUCGCUCAACGGAUAAAAGGUACUCCGGGGAUAACAGGCUGAUACCGCCCAAGAGUUCAUAUCGACGGCGGUGUUUGGCACCUCGAUGUCGGCUCAUCACAUCCUGGGGCUGAAGUAGGUCCCAAGGGUAUGGCUGUUCGCCAUUUAAAGUGGUACGCGAGCUGGGUUUAGAACGUCGUGAGACAGUUCGGUCCCUAUCUGCCGUGGGCGCUGGAGAACUGAGGGGGGCUGCUCCUAGUACGAGAGGACCGGAGUGGACGCAUCACUGGUGUUCGGGUUGUCAUGCCAAUGGCACUGCCCGGUAGCUAAAUGCGGAAGAGAUAAGUGCUGAAAGCAUCUAAGCACGAAACUUGCCCCGAGAUGAGUUCUCCCUGACUCCCUGAGAGUCCUGAAGGAACGUUGAAGACGACGACGUUGAUAGGCCGGGUGUGUAAGCGCAGCGAUGCGUUGAGCUAACCGGUACUAAUGAACCGUGAGGCUUAACCUU